rnacentral:rRNA from 1 species
AGUGAACGCUGGCGGUAGGCCUAACACAUGCAAGUCGAACGGCAGCACAGGAGAGCUUGCUCUCUGGGUGGCGAGUGGCGGACGGGUGAGGAAUACAUCGGAAUCUACCCUGUCGUGGGGGAUAACGUAGGGAAACUUACGCUAAUACCGCAUACGACCUACGGGUGAAAGCAGGGGACCUUCGGGCCUUGCGCGAUUGAAUGAGCCGAUGUCGGAUUAGCUAGUUGGCGGGGUAAAGGCCCACCAAGGCGACGAUCCGUAGCUGGUCUGAGAGGAUGAUCAGCCACACUGGAACUGAGACACGGUCCAGACUCCUACGGGAGGCAGCAGUGGGGAAUAUUGGACAAUGGGCGCAAGCCUGAUCCAGCCAUACCGCGUGGGUGAAGAAGGCCUUCGAGUUGUAAAGCCCUUUUGUUGGGAAAGAAAUCCAGCUGGCUAAUACCCGGUUGGGAUGACGGUACCCAAAGAAUAAGCACCGGCUAACUUCGUGCCAGCAGCCGCAGUAA